rnacentral:rRNA from 1 species
GGAUUAGAUACCCUGGUAGUCCACGCCGUAAACGAUGAUAACUAGCCGUUGGAAUUUUCAGUGGCGCAGCUAACGCAAUAAGUUAUCCGCCUGGGGAGUACGGCCGCAAGGCUAAAACUCAAAUGAAUUGACGGGGACCCGCACAAGCGGUGGAGCAUGUGGUUUAAUUCGAUGCAACGCGAAAAACCUUACCUACACUUGACAUACUUUGAAUUUUUUAGAGAUAAAAAAGUGCCUUCGGGAACGAAGAUACAGGUGCUGCAUGGCUGUCGUCAGCUCGUGCCG